UACGGGGGGAGCAAGCGUUGUUCGGAUUUACUGGGCGUAAAGGGCGCGUAGGCGGCACCGCAAGUCGACUGUGAAAUCUCCGGGCUUAACCCGGAAAGGUCAGCCGAUACUGCGGGGCUAGAGUGCAGAAGGGGCAACUGGAAUUCUCGGUGUAGCGGUGAAAUGCGUAGAUAUCGAGAGGAACACCUGCGGCGAAGGCGGGUUGCUGGGCUGACACUGACGCUGAUGCGCGAAAGCUGGGGGAGCGAACGGG
rnacentral:rRNA from 1 species